rnacentral:lncRNA from 1 species
GCCCGGAGGACACUGAUGCUUCUGGAGCGCGCGCGAGGGUCCAAGGCGGGGCCGGACCGAGGCCGCCUGCGCUCCGCGGAGGCGCGGUCUGAGGGACACGAGGCGGUGGCAAGGGACAGCAGGCGGGGGCGCGGUCACCGGGCGCGGGAACGGGCGGAGACAUGGAGGGGGCGCGGGUGGGCGGACUCCCUCCCGCAGGGCUGGGGUGGUCAGGCCAAGGCCUCUGGGAAAGGGAGGACGCUCGCCCCUGAGCUGCCAGCUGGGCUUUUCUCCUUCCUCGCCUGCCCUGUGUUCCAGGGCGCGACCCCGCUCUGUCCAGACGCUGGCUCCUGGACUGACCCUCAGUUCUGCCAUCAUCGCUGA